rnacentral:rRNA from 1 species
GACGAACGCUGGCGGCGUGCUUAACACAUGCAAGUCGAACGGUGAAAGCGGAGCUUGCUCCGCUGGAUCAGUGGCGAACGGGUGAGUAACACGUGGGCAACCUGCCCCUCACUUCGGGAUAACUCCGGGAAACCGGGGCUAAUACCGGAUAUGACCUCCUUGGGCAUCCUUGGAGGUGGAAAGGUUUUCGGUGAGGGAUGGGCCCGCGGCCUAUCAGCUUGUUGGUGAGGUAGUGGCUCAGCAAGGCGACGACGGGUAGCCGGCCUGAGAGGGCGAUCGGCCACACUGGGACUGAGACACGGCCAAGACUCCUACGGGAGGCAGCAGUAGGGAAUCUUCCGCAAUGGACGAAAGUCUGACGGAGCAACGCCGCGUGAGUGAUGAAGGCUUUCGGGUCGUAAAACUCUGUUGUUAGGGAAGAGCGAGUGCUAGUUGAAUAAGCUGGCACCUUGACGGUACCUAACCAGAAAGCCACGGCUAACUACGUGCCAGCAGCCGCGGUAA